CUCCUCUUACUUUUGGCUUCAUUUUCAUGCAGCCGUAAAGAUUCACAGCAUAUAUCAAUGGGAAAUGUAAUAUAACACUCAGAAGUUUUCAAAUCUCACUCAUUCAAAUGAGUGUGACUUGACAAGUCUGAUGUGAUAAAAUAAUGCAAAGGGGUUUAAAGAUUUUGCUUAAAUGCACAAUGAAAUGAAACCUUUUUUCUUUACUUUUUUGCUGUUUCUUUUUUUAACUUUUGAAAUUAAAUCUAAAAAACUACAUCAAACCGAUAGAAAACAGGGAGAUUCUCAUUGUACAGCCUGUCAUUUCUCACCUCCAGAAUCUCACAACCCUUCUCACUGGAAAGAACCUCAAGGUGCUUCCAGUCCAAGCUCCUGCUCCAAGCAAAGUCAACACUGAAUUCAGACCAGGUUGCUCAGGACUUCAUCCGGUAGGGUUUUGAAAAUGUCCAAGGAUGGAGAUGGCAAACCCUCUCUGAGCAACCUGUUGUACUGCUUCAUUAUCCUCAUAGUGAAAUUUUGUUUCCUUGUAUGCAGUUGGAACUUGUCCUGUUUCAGUUUAUGACCACUUCUUCUCACCGUCCUGCCAAACGCCUUAGAAAAGAGCCCACUGCAUGCCCCCAGCCCUCUGCCUGUGGGUACCAGAGCUGCUAAGAGAGGUCCCAAGGCUGCCCCUGCUCCUGGCGAGCCGGCCCCAGCAUCGCAGCCUCUCCUUGGAGUGUCGGGCUCCUGCUCCGCAGUCUCGCUGCCUCCCCGAGCUCCCUCCACAACAUCAACAUAUUUUUUGUACGGGGGGUGGGGUGGGGGGAGGUGCAAAACUGGGUCACUAUUCCAUAUAUGGUCUAAUGAGUUCUGAGUAAAGGAAGUUAAUCACUCCUCUCAACUUACUGUCUGGGCUCCUGCUCGUACAUCCCAGGAUGCCAUUAAUCUUUGUCACUACCACAGCACGUUGUUGGCACAGGCACAGCCUAUAUGGUCUACCAGGAUCUUCUCAGCAGAGCUGCUUUAGCCAGUCCCCUGCCUGUACUGUUGCAGGGGAUUAGUGCAUCCAAGGAGCAGGACCUAGCAUUUGUCCUGUUUCAUAAAGUUCCUAUAAUCCUAGCUGAUUCCUGCGGCCUGUCUGGGUACCUCUGAAUGGCAGUCCUGCUCUCAAGCAUAUCAGCUGCACCUGUCAAUUGGGUGUUUUAUGCAUCCAGUGAGGGUGCAUGAGUGUCCUCCACAUCACUGGUAAAGGUGUUAAGCAGGACAGGUCCAAAGACAGACCAGUGCAGUGCCUUACCUGUUAUCAGCCACCAGGUAGAGUACAACUCACUACCAACUGUGAACACAACCAUCCAAUGAAGUUUUUACCCAUGCAGUAGUCCACCCAUUCAGACAAUAACUUCCCAAUGUGGAUAUGAGAAUGCUGUAGGAAAAAUGUGUUUAAAGCCUUGCCAAAAUCAUGGUAGACAAAAUCCACUGCUCUUUUGUUAUCCACAGAUCUAGUCAUUUCAUCAUACAAAGUAAACAAGCUAAAUUAUGGUUUAUCCUUGGUAAAUCCAUGCUACCUAUUCCAAAUCACAGAAUCACAGAAUAACUGAGGUUGGAAGGCACUUCCGGAGAUCAUCUGGCAUCCAGCCCCUCCUGCUCUAGCAGGGUCACCUACAACAGGUUGCCCAAGACAGUCUUCAGUCAGAUUUUAAAUAUCGCCAAGGAUGGAGACUCUACAACCUCUGUGGGCAACCUGUUCCAGUGUGUUUGACUACCUUCACAGUAAAAAAUAAAACAAAAAUAAAUCCUUAUGUUUUAAUGGAAUUUCCUGUAUUUCAAUUUGUGCCCACUGCCUGGUUGUCCUGUCAGUGGGCACCACUAAGAAUCUAGCCCCAUCUUCUUUAGUCCCUCCAUCAGGUAUUUAUACAUAUGGAUAAGAUUCUCCUGAGUCUUCUCUUCUCCAGGCUGAACAGUCCCAGCUCUCUCACUAUUUCCUCAUAUGACAAAUGUUCCAGUCCCUCAGUUAUGUUUGUAGCCCUUUGCUGGACUUGCUCCAGUAUGUCCACAUUUCCUUUAUUCAGCCCAGCACUGAAUCCAGCCCUUCAGGUGCAUCUCACCAGGGGUGAGCAGAGGGGAAGUAUCACCUCCCUUGACCUGCUGGCAACUCACUGCCUAAUGCAGCCCAGGAAGCUGUUGGCCUUCUUUGCCAUAAGGGCACACUACUGGUUCAUGGCCAACUUGUUGUCCACCAGGACUCCCAGGGUCUUUUCUGCCAAUCUCUGCAAAGCUAUUCUCCAGACAGUUGGCCUCCAGUCUGUGCUGUUGCAAGGGUUUGCUCCUCCUCCACUGCAGGACUUUGCACUGCCCUUUGGUAAGCUUCUUGAAGGUCCUGUCUGCCCAUUUCUCCAGCCUGUUGAAGUCCCUCUGGAUGGCAGGACAACCAUCUGUAUCAACUAAUCCUUCCAGUUCUGCAUCAUCUGUAAACUUGCUGAGGGUGUACUCUGGCCCAUCAUCCAGGUCAUUAAUGAAGAUGUUAAACAGUACUGGCCCCAGUAUUGGCCCCUGGGGUUCAUUGCUAGUGACUGGCCUCCAGCUGGACUUUGUCAUGCUGCUCACAACCUUCUGAGCACAGCAGUUCAGCCAGUUUUCAGUCCAGCUCACUGACCCCUUCUUUAGCCCAUACUUUAUCAGCUUGUCUAGGAAGAUGUUGUGGAAGAUAGUGUCAGAAGCCUUAGUGAAGUCAAAGUAAACAACAUCCAUGGUUCUCCCCUCAACCACCAAGCCAGUCAUUCCAUCACAGAAGGCUAUCAGGUUGGUUAAGCAUGAUUUCUGCUUCAUAAACCAUGCUGACUACUCCCAAUCACCUUCCUGUCCUUCAUGUGCCUGGAAAUAGUACUCAAAAUUCAUUCCUCCAUCACCUUCCCAGGGACUGACACAAGGCUCACCAGCUUAUAGUUCCCCAUGUUGUGCUUCUUGCCCUUCCUGAAGAUUUGUGUGAUGCUUUUUUCCAGUCCUCAAACACCUGUCCCAGUCACCAUGACCUUUCAAAGAUAAUCAAGAGUGGCCUUGCAAUGACAUCGGACAACUCCCUCAGCACUUGUAGCUGUAUCCUAUCAGGGCCCAUGAACUUGUAUAUGUCCAGUUUGCUUAAGUGAUCCCUAAGCUGAUCUUCCUCCACAAACAGAUCCUCCUUCCUUGUUCCAGACUUUCCCUGGUCUCAGCCACUUGGGAUUUCUGAGGGCUGCUCUUAUCUGUAAGGACUGGGUCAAAAAAGGCAUUCAGCCUUUUCUGUAUUGUGACCAGAAAGCCUGCCCCAUUUGCUAGAGGGGUGUCACCUUCUUCUUCAUGUGCCCAGAACUGGCUACGAGGAGGACAAGCUCAAUGAUUUUUCCCAGGAACCAAAGACAGACAGAACUGCCUGUAGUUCUCUGGAUCUUCCCUUUCAGAGUAGACUGUGGCAUUUUCCUUUCUCCUGUCAUCAGGAAAAUUUCCCCAAACCUUUCAAAGAUGAUACAGAAUAGCCUUGUGAUGACCUCUGCCAGCUCCCUUAACAAACAUCCUUGGAUUCUUCACCUCAAGCUGCAUGGAAUCACAGGGUCCACGAUUUUGCAAGAGAUCCCUGAGUCAAUUCUCAUCCAUAUCUGGCAGUACAUCUCCUCCUUGAACCCUGUCAGGGGAGACCUGGGAGACCUCUUCAGUGAAGACGGAGGCAAAGAUGACAUUGAGUAACUCAGUCUUAUCUUCAUCCACUGUGGCUAGAUCACCUGGCCCAGCAUUUAGCAGCAUGACCACAUUUUCCUUGUUUAUUAUUUUCUGAUUGUUGUGGAGAUAGAAGCUCUUCUCCUAGCCUUUGGCAAUUUCAGCCCUAGCUGAGCUUAACUUUCCUAACAGUAUCUCACCAUACCCAGGCAAUGUUUCUAUAUUCUUCCUCAUUUCCACUUCCUGUGUAACCCCAUUUACGCUGAGGCUCAGUCAUGAGUUACCUGUUUAUUCAGGCUGGUCCUGUGAUAGGUCUAUUUGUUUUCCUGAAUAUCUGUAUAGACUGUUCUUGAGCUUUGAGGAGAUUGUCCUUGAAGACUUGCCAUUUUUCUUUACUUCAGUUAAAGUAGUUCCCCAGUGGUUUCAUGAUUCACACAAAGCCUUGCCUUGAAUCAGCAACAGCUGUCACUUUGCCAUCUGGCUUUCAAGUUAUUUUUCACAGAUUGCUAUGUUAUUUACUGCUGCUUAAUAAAUGUGUAAUAUUCACAAUAUUAAAUAACAGCAUGUCAACCUUU